UUUCCUUUACAAAAAAAAAAAAAAAAAACUGCAUGUGUGAAUAUAUUUAUAUGUGUGUGUGUGUGUUUCACUAAAGUAUUAUAAUAAUAAAUUGUUUUGUGUAUGUAGAGUGCAGACCAGAACCCGCUCACAAGGUGGACAAGGCUACUUGUACCAGCGAAGACGGUGUCUACCCGCUACUCGUCAUACCCGACACGCCAGAAAAGCAAGGCAGACAACCGGCUAACACUAAAGAAGCUGACACUGACGGAGGACCAUCUGGAUCCAAAAUUAGCAUACCAGAAGCACCAGAGAAAGCAGUGACUGACGACUCCAGGCCAUACCCCAGACUGAAGCAUUCCACUAGAAGAAGCGGCAGGAGGAAUACGAGGAGAUCAGCUUCAGGACGUCGGGGUCUAUCGAGAGGGAAGGUUGUGAAAACUUUUUGGAAAAUACUGACUUCUGUUUGUGAAUUGACCUCAGCGUUGACUAGGUAGAGUCGUGUGUGUGUUGUAAUGAUGAAUGAUCAAGGGGA